rnacentral:rRNA from 1 species
GACGAACGCUGGCGGCGUGCCUAAUACAUGCAAGUAGAACGCACAGUUUAUACCGUAGCUUGCUACACCAUAAACUGUGAGUUGCGAACGGGUGAGUAACGCGUAGGUAACCUGCCUGGUAGCGGGGGAUAACUAUUGGAAACGAUAGCUAAUACCGCAUAAUAUUAAUUAUUGCAUGAUAAUUGAUUGAAAGAUGCAAUUGCAUCACUACCAGAUGGACCUGCGUUGUAUUAGCUAGUAGGUGAGGUAACGGCUCACCUAGGCGACGAUACAUAGCCGACCUGGGAGGGUGGUCGGCCACACUGGGACUGAGACACGGCCCAGACUCCUACGGGAGGCAGCAGUAGGGAAUCUUCGGCAAUGGGCGAAAGUCUGACCGAGCAACGCCGCGUGAGUGAAGAAGGUUUUCGGAUCGUAAAGCUCUGUUGUAAGAGAAGAACGGGUGUGAGAGUGGAAAGUUCACACUGUGACGGUAUCUGACCAGAAAGGGACGGCUAACUACGUG